rnacentral:misc_RNA from 1 species
GAAGAAGCCAAAUGGGUUGCAGCACUUACUUCAUCAUUUCUUUGAUUCUCUUCUCUAGUUUGGUCCUCUCACCCGUGUCUGCGGGCAUCUGUGAACUUGCACGUCAGCCUGAUGGUGAAAGAUAUUCAAAGGCCAAUUGUAAUGAUCACGAUCCUGAUCCCGAAUACGAUCCACGUUGUUUUAACCGCUUAAGACGCCGCCAAGAUCCCUGCCCACCAACUACCGCUCGCACAAAGCCUUGAUGGAAAUAUCACUGAAACGAA